AUGGAGACCACCAGUCCCAGGGUGGUGGUCUGUCUGGAGCUCCUGGUUCUGCUGCUGGACACUCUGUGGAUUCCAGGUGCAGUGUGUAGUUCAGACGUUGUAACACCAACCACUGUCUUCAACGUCACUCUGUCCAACUCUGCGAAUUCAACAUCUACAGGAGGCAGGGUGGGACGGGCGGCGGUGGCGUUGGGAGUAGCAGGAGUCGUUGGUGUAGCCAUGUACAUCCUCAGGAAGAAAGGACCGAGGGGAUCCCACCUGAGCCCACGCCCACAAGGUCCCAGAAGAAGAGUAGCUUUCUCCAGGGGCGGAGCCUUGUUAACCGCUGACCAAUCGGGCAGCAGCGUUCCUCUGCUCCAAUUAAACGAAGACUCUGAUCUGGAUCCUGGUGAGGCCACGCCCACGUAGACCUGAAGAAGAUCAAAGAUGAUGAAAGUUGAUCAAUAACCUGGAGGAGACACGGAAGUCCAACGUCACCACAGGAAGGACUUUUAUUCUGAAGGGUUUCCUUCUUCACAGGAAGUCGUGGAAUAGAAAAGUGUUAACUUUAUUACCACAUAGAUCAGUUCCUGUCCUUUGUCACAGAUGUAUGAAGAAUAGAUCUGUUCCUCACGGAGGAACUAGAUAAUAAACAGUUUUAUUAUUACUGCCA
rnacentral:lncRNA from 1 species